rnacentral:rRNA from 1 species
GAUAAACGCUGGCGGCGUGCAUAACACAUGCAAGUCGAACGAUGAAGAUUAAAAGAUUUCUUCGGAAUGAACUUAAUUGGAUUAGUGGCGGACGGGCGAGUAACGCGUGAGUAACCUGCCUUGUACAAGGGGAUAGCCGUUGGAAACGACGAAUAAUACCCUAUGACAUCAAAUAAUCGCAUGAUAAUUUGAUCAAAGAUUUAUCGGUAUAAGAUGGACUCGCGUCUGAUUAGCUAGUUGGUAGAGUAAAAGCCUACCAAGGCAACGAUCAGUAGCCGGCUUGAGAGAGUGUACGGCCACAUUGGGACUGAGACACGGCCCAGACUCCUACGGGAGGCAGCAGUGGGGAAUUUUGCACAAUGGGGGAAACCCUGAUGCAGCGACGCCGCGUGAUUUAGAAGGCCUUCGGGUUGUAAAAAUCUUUUGUAUGGGAAGAAAAUGACAGUACCAUACGAAUAAGGACCGGCUAAUUACGUG